UAUUGGCCUCCUACAAUACACAAAUACUUCUUAUGGUGUUUCUUGCAAUUGUUUCACUGCUAUUGGCGGGUUUCUUUAGCUAUCAUGCGAAGCUUUGUCUCACAAAUACUACCACAAAUGAGACUUUCAAGUGGCAAGAGUACAUAAUUUGGCAGGGGAAGAUAAAUGAAGCAAAGGCGAGUGCUGCAGCCCUCAAAGCGAGUAUCAAUGGGAUGAGUACCAAAGGAAAGCCUCCAGAAAGCAAAUGGAGAGCCUUCUUUCGAAAAUCCCCAUUGGAAGAUGUGCAGGUUGUUAAAAAUAACAUUUAUGAUAAAGGAUUUUUUCACAAUCUUCAUGAGAUCAUCUUUCCCCCCUCAAUGAGAUCCUCAUUUCUGCAAUCUAAAUCAAAGUCGGGCUGAAUUUCCUUUACUCUUUUGCUUGGCUGGGUUUUCUUAAGAUGCUUUGGUGGCUGGGUUAGCCUGUUCCUGAAAUUGCUGAUUUGUAGAUGGCUGGCUAAAGAGCUCUGAGGGAGGAUUGUAAUUUGUAAAUGAGAAGCUUUUUUCUGCGUUACUUAUCAUUGGAACUAUAAUCUAUGGCUAUGGUCCAUUGCAUGCUAAAAAUUGAGGUAGUGAAAUACAGAAAAUCUCAUCAUAAAUUUAAUUAUUGAAAUUCACUGUUAUGUGAUAGGAAGAAGUGUCAUGUCGCUGCACUGUAAGUUUUGAUCUACUUAUGGAAAACUCUCUAAAAAAGAAAGAUUUAUUUCGUAUUAA